rnacentral:rRNA from 1 species
UACAGAGACCUCAAGCGUUAUCCGGAAUCAUUGGGCGUAAAGCGUACCGAUAGGUGGCUUGGUUAGUCUUGGGUGAAAUCCCGAAGCUCAACUUCGGGUUUGCUUAAGAUACUGCCAGACUAGAGGGGUAAAGAGGAGAUUGGAACGAACGGUGUAGUAGUGAAAUGCGUUGAUAUCGUUCGGAACACCGAAAGCGAAGGCAGAUCUCUGGGUACCUCCUGACACUGCUAGGACGAAAGCGUGGGUAGCGAAUGGG